CAAGGACCCACUAAGGUUCUGAUGUUCAAUCUUAACUUAUUGACAUGUUAAGUAUUUAGCUACAAACUCUGCAAUAUCUCUCUUCAUCCCACUCCACCAAUAAACCUCCCAUAAGUUGCGGUACAUCUUAGUGCCUCUUGGAUGAAUAGAGUAGCGCGCACCAUGUGCUUCUGCAAGAAUCCACUGCCUCAAGUCAUCUACACCUGGCAUACAUAUCCG
rnacentral:lncRNA from 1 species